AAGAUAAAAGCGAUUCGCAUUCAUAUUAAAAAAAAAAUUUCAGAGGAAAACGCUGUCUGAUCUCAGUACUUUCAAUAAUCAGCGACUAGUCAACGUUAACGAACGUAGCCUAAAUAGCUUAUCCCAAUAACACCAUCUUAGGAAAACCCAAACAGCCUUGACGCAUAAUUAGCGCAUUUAUUGAUCACGAGUGUGUUUUAUCAGUUUGGUCAGUUUUAAUGCAUGUGUGACGUUCAAUACAUAAAGUUACGCUUUCAUUUAAUACGCUACGACGUGGACUCGACCUAGUUUACGCGGUCACUGCAGUGACAGAAACAGAAACACUGGAUCACUGGCUGCAUGUGUCUGUCAUACUGCAACAACUUAGUAUGUUAGUAUCUAUUUAAAUGUACUAGUCUCCAGUUUUAAGAUGUGAGAUUAUAAAUUAAAUUUUAAGUGCUUGUGUUAAAUUUAUUACUUAAUAAUUAUAGCACUGAAAUGAAUUACAUUAAAUUGAAUAAAAUAAUUUAAAUUCGAAAACAGUUUGUUUCUUUGGAAUUUCUUUUCCGCUUCUCUGAGACAGCAGUAGUCACCAAGGGGCGGGGCUUAGCGAAGGGUCAGUUACAGACAGGUGUGUUAGAGCAGGGCUGGGGCUGAACUCUGCAGGAGCUGGACUGAGCACCGCGGUUCUUGAGGAUGUCAGGUAACAUGAAUGUUUAAGUAUAUGUUUGACUGACCAGCAGGGGGCGCACUGGACUGUCUCUCAUCGCUACAACUGUAAAGGUCGGGUUUAAGAGGCAGCGGUGGACUAUCUGACCUCGCUUUCUUGCAAGGGUCUUCGAGG